UUCCCUUCUCAGCCUUUUGGCUAAGAUCAAGUGUAGUAUCUGUUCUUAUUGCUUUAAUGUUUACUUUCUCUCAUUAGAUUUUUUUUGAAAGAAAGAAAGAGAAAGAGAAAGAGAAAGGGGGAGAGAGAACAGGAGUCUUGUUCUAUUGCCCAGGCUGGAAUGCAAUAUAAAAAUAGGCAUUAAAAACCUCUUUUAU
ensembl:snRNA U2 U2 spliceosomal RNA